GAUGAACGCUGGCGGCGUGCCUAAUACAUGCAAGUCGAGCGAACAGACGAGGUGCUUGCUCCUCUGACGUUAGCGGCGGACGGGUGAGUAACACGUGGAUAACCUACCUAUAAGACUGGGAUAACUUCGGGAAACCGGAGCUAAUACCGGAUAAUAUAUUGAACCGCAUGGUUCAAUAGUGAAAGACGGUUUUGCUGUCACCUAUAGAUGGAUCCGCGCCGCAUUAGCUAGUUGGUAAGGUAACGCCUUACCAGGGCAACGAUGCGUAGCCGACCUGAGAGGGUGAUCGGCCACACUGGAACUGAGACACGGUCCAGACUCCUACGGGAGGCAGCAGUGGGGAAUCUUCCGCAAUGGGCGAAAGCCUGACGGAGCAACGCCGCGUGAGUGAUGAAGGUCUUCGGAUCGUAAAACUCUGUUAUUAGGGAAGAACAAAUGUGUAAGUAACUAUGCACGUAUUGACGGUACCUAAUCAGAAAGCCACGGCUAACUACGUG
rnacentral:rRNA from 1 species